rnacentral:rRNA from 1 species
GAUCAUGGCUCAGAACGAACGCUGGCGGCAUGGAUUAGGCAUGCAAGUCGAACGGUGCAGCAAUGCACAGUGGCGCAAGGGUGAGGAACGCGUGAGUAACCUGCCCUUAAGUUGGGAAUAGCUCCUGGAAACGGGAAUUAAUACCGAAUGUGAUCGUCGGGAGACAUCUUCUGGUGAUUAAAGGCCGCAAGGUCGCUUAAGGAGGGGCUCGCGUCCCAUUAGCUAGUUGGUGAGGUAACGG